rnacentral:rRNA from 1 species
UACGUAGGGGGCCAGCGUUGUUCGGAAUUACUGGGUGUAAAGGGUUCGUAGGCGGUGUGGCAAGUUGGGAGUGAAAUCUCUGGGCUCAACCCAGAGACGGCUUCCAAAACUGCCGUGCUUGAGUGUGGGAGAGGCUCGUGGAAUUGCAGGUGUAGCGGUGAAAUGCGUAGAUAUCUGGAGGAACACCGGUGGCGAAGGCGGCGUUCUGGACUGCAACUGACACUGAUGAACGAAAGCCAGGGGAGCAAACGGG